rnacentral:rRNA from 1 species
UGCCAGACUCCUACGGGAGGCAGCAGUGGGGAAUAUUGCACAAUGGGGGGAACCCUGAUGCAGCGACGCCGCGUGAGUGAAGAAGUAUUUCGGUAUGUAAAGCUCUAUCAGCAGGGAAGAAAAUGACGGUACCUGACUAAGAAGCCCCGGCUAACUACGUGCCAGCAGCCGCGGUAAUACGUAGGGGGCAAGCGUUAUCCGGAUUUACUGGGUGUAAAGGGAGCGUAGACGGUGAGACAAGUCUGAAGUGAAAGCCCGGGGCUCAACCCCGGGACUGCAUUUGGAACUGUGUGGCUGGAGUGUCGGAGAGGCAAGUGGAAUUCCUAGUGUAGCGGUGAAAUGCGUAGAUAUUAGGAGGAACACCAGUGGCGAAGGCGGCUUGCUGGACGAUGACUGACGUUGAGGCUCGAAAGCGUGGGGAGCAAACAGGAUUAGAUACCCGUGUA